rnacentral:rRNA from 1 species
CCAUGCAAGUCGAGCGAGAUCUUCGGAUCUAGCGGCGGACGGGUGAGUAACGCGUGGGAACGUACCCUCUUCUGCGGGAUAGCCACUGGAAACGGUGAGUAAUACCGCAUACGCCCUUCGGGGGAAAGAUUUAUCGGAGGAGGAUCGGCCCGCGUUGGAUUAGGUAGUUGGUGGGGUAAUGGCCUACCAAGCCUACGAUCCAUAGCUGGUUUUAGAGGAUGAUCAGCCACACUGGGACUGAGACACGGCCCAGACUCCUACGGGAGGCAGCAGUGGGGAAUCUUAGACAAUGGGCGCAAGCCUGAUCUAGCCAUGCCGCGUGAGUGACGAAGGCCUUAGGGUCGUAAAGCUCUUUCGCCUGUGAUGAUAAUGACAGUAGCAGGUAAAGAAACCCCGGCUAACUCCGUGCCAGCAGCCGCGGUAAUACGGAGGGGGUUAGCGUUGUUCGGAAUUACUGGGCGUAAAGCGCACGUAGGCGGAUUGGAAAGUAUGGGGUGAAAUCCCAGGGCUCAACCCUGGAACGGCCUCAUAAACUUCCAGUCUGGAGUUCGAGAGAGGUGAGUGGAAUUCCGAGUGUAGAGGUGAAAUUCGUAGAUAUUCGGAGGAACACCAGUGGCGAAGGCGGCUCACUGGCUCGAUACUGACGCUGAGGUGCGAAAGUGUGGGGAGCAAACAGGAUUAGAUACCCUGGUAGUCCACACCGUA